UCCUAGUCAAGCCAGGGCUGGAGUUUUACAGGGGAGUAGAAGAGAAGGGUCUGCUUUGUUUCAGGUAACAGUUUUUAUCUCCAACUGCCAUGAAACUUGAACUUGGGAUGGCUGGAGAUGGUUCCGGUUUCUUGUGUCUCUUGCCUAGGAUCGUUCGUGAUCCAGCCUGAUGUGUUGAUUCACAAAAAAGACUCCAUAAAUGCCUCUGAGAAUGUGCAUGCAGUCCUUGUUGCUGAUGACUGUGUACGUACCUCCACUAGAUAAUGUUAAUGCCAGCCAGCGAUGGACAGCUGCCUCCUGGAAUUCCUGCGUUUCUCAAGCAGGUGUCCUAAAGUGUGGGAUGUUUACCACCAGUGGAACAGAAGAUGACAACAGCCAAUGAAAUCAUAUUGAAUCUCUACAAAGGAAGCAACUACCAUCCAAUAUCCAAAUUA